ACAAGAACUAAAAAAAAAAAAGAGGGAGAGAAAAGAAAAAUAGAAAUAUACAGAAAAUAUUCAAAUCUUAUAAAUAUAGCUUCUUGGAAAAAGAGAGAGCCCAGUGUUGUUGCGCUGUGCUGGCAACGCUCCUGAAGCACUGACUUGUUUUUUAACUCAGUCCCUGUGCUUUUUUCCUACUCACUUUUUUACUCCUUUAAUGAGUCUUGGGUUUUUUGGUUUGCGUUCACCUUUCCCCUGCCCCAGCCCAGGAGUGGUGCAAACAUAGGUCACGAUGCUCCUGCCUAACUGCACUCUUCCCAGCACUGGACAGUUGAUCCUUCUACCUGGGUGUAGAGAUGGCUUUGUUCUGGGCUGUGUCCCCAGACACCUACUGCCUUGCUGGAGGCUGGGGGAGGAAAAGGGACAGGAUGAGUCAGUGUUGGCGGAGGUGCAUGCUCUUCUUGAGUGCUAGCCAGAAAUGGGUGAGUGGGCUUGCUUUUCUGUUACGGCUCUGCGUUCUGAGUGUAGACCGAGAGCAUCUACCCUGCCCACUGGCUGAGACUGCUGUGCUGUUGCUUGAAGCUCCACAGACCGGGCUGGCAUCAGCUGUUCUGUUUGUAUGCUGAAAAGCACUAACUCUUUUUUUACCGUCUCCCAGCAAAUAGCAGGGAGGCCAGAGCAUUACUGUGAAAUGGCUUCUUCCUGCUCCCCUCCUCAUCUGCACUUCCAGCCAUGGAGGGAAGCUGCAGAAGAGCAGCACUUUGGACUACGUGACUCUGGUUAUAAUCCCCUUCUGCAUGUGAGCAAAAAGAGGCCUUUUCGUGGCUUCUUUGGGCCAGGUGGUUGGUUCAGAUGACAACCCUGUGGUGUAAAAACACUACGCGCGUGUCGCUGCUGUGUGUGGGAGGUGGUGCUGAGCCAGGCAGCUGCACUUGGAUCCUGCCCCCACUUUGUGUACUUCCUCCGCACCAGCAAGGGCAGCAUCCACUGAUGGUCAUUUGGGGCAAUCUUCUGAGUUGGCGUUCUCAUUCCCUGCUGUGGAUUACCUUUUUAAUCUUUGAGAGGGAAUUCCUUUCUUUUUAGUUAGAGAGGCAGCACUGCUUUUGGGGAGGAGAAAGGGCUAUGUUGUUGAAGCUGUUCUCUUGAAUGAUAGCCUAAGGGUUUGUGCUUUCAGUUAGGAAUAAAUCUGACUAAAUCCCCUCUUCUGCCCUUCUGGAGGAGUGGGAGGAGGUGGCUGAUCUGGUGCAGAAGGGAAGCGCCUAGUGUAAAUUCGUCAUUCCAACCAGAUCAUGUCGGUGCAGAUGGUGGCAGGCUUACUGCAGGGCAGGGACGGACGCUCUGAAGCUGAGCGGGUGUCCGCAUGUGUGAACCUACAGCGGGAGAGCCAGAAUCUGGGAAUGCCCCUGCAGCUUUUUCUGAGGCUGAUGUGCUGCAGCAGGCUAGUAAUGGCUUUUCAGCUAGGUCACUUCUGUGCCCGGAGCCCACCUGCAGGAGGAAGUGUGGAGGGCCUCUUUCUGCCCAGGCUGGGCUGGUGGCUCCCUCGAUGGGAAGGAGUCUUCCUUGGAGGCUGUUGUGAGAGUAUGGAAGAGUGCAAAGAGGAGUGAGACAGAGAUGAGGCUCCAAGAAGUUCUUUGUUUUGUGUUUUUUAAAUCUUUCUGCUGCCUCCCAAGUGUGGGGCUUUGGUUUUCUUCUAAGCAUGUCUCUGGAGCACCUUCAGAAACCUGCUUCUGCUUAUCUGUUGAAAGCUAGUAAGCUCUUUCCAGGCAUCCCUCCUUCAGGGGAGGGGAACUCAUGCUUUCCCCUCUCUCUUCCCUGAAGCUGAGAUAGAGGCGCUCCGACCCUCUUGUACUUGUGUUGCCAAUGAGCCUUCGCAGGGGAAAGGAGAUGUCCCGGGGAGACUGCCGCUACCCAUAUCUCAUUAAGGAGAAUUUCCAGUGUGCCCCUUUUCCUCGCUGGGCGACUGGAAGAGGCCUGGUCCCAACCUUGUGCCCAGCAUCGGUUCCCGAGCAGGCUGCUUGCUGCUGUCAAGCCAUGACCAACACAGCAGGAGUUUGCUGCUGAUGGCCAGCCAGCGUGCCGCGCUGGACCGAGGAGCGCUCGGCCUGCGGUCGCGGGGUCCCAGCUGGCAUCCUGGCUCAGGCGCCUCCAUUCCUUCCACCGCUCCCACAUCUCCUGGCAAAGCCUUCUGUGAACCGCUGCAGUGGGACAGUGUUGCCCUCCUCAGGGGUAGGAAGGGGGGGGGGAGGUGGGAUGCCCCCAGCCACCUGCUUAUGUGUGUGAAGCUUUGAUGCCGCUUUGCCCUGCCACACGUAUUAUACCUGCUUUAAAAAUAGUGUGCGUGGAAGGAGGAAAAGGGGAGGGACCAACCUCUUUGUAUCUUAAAGGAAAAAAGCGUGCUUCAGAAACGUUCCUCCAGCGUCAGGCAGCAAUGGAAACUAACGGCCUUUUGGGGUCUUUUCUAGUCUUGGAUGUAGACGUUCAGCUUCAAUUUUAUUUUUUAAAACCUGCACUAAUUUACCUGGUUUCUUAGGAAGAGAAGAGAGAUUUUUUUUUUAACUUUUAUUUUUUAUGGGUUUGUGUUCUUUUUGUUGAUGUCCGUUUGUAUUGAAUAAUUUGCUACAUUUGUAAAAUGUAAGAGGUAUAUAUAAUAUAUGUAUAUUUCUAACGUAAAAAAAUUGUAAUUUUUUUCUUUUCAAGAUUUUUUCUUAAAAAGAGGAGAGAAAAAUAUUUUUUCAGGAAAAAAACUUUAAAAAAAAGAAGCAGUGAAGAUUCCUUUCUCCCCACUCAGCCUCCCUCCUUUCCCUCCCAGCCCUCUCUGAGGAGUGAAUUGACAGUCGUCUUGUGGAGAGAAUGAGUGAAAGAGGACAGAAGUCUGUAUGUCUCUGAGUGGAGGGUUUCUGUGUGUGCUCUGCUUGGGUUUCUUUCCAAGAAGGGGGCUACUGAGAGGGGGAACCAGGAGGUUGCUGUCUUUUUUUCUUUCUUUUUUUUUUUUUUUCUUUAGCGAAGGAGGAAUACAAUCAGAGUUUUGUAUUCAGAAUGUUGUGCAAUAUUUUGGAACGGGACAUUGGUGUGUCUAGAGAUUUAGUUAAAAACAAAAACAAAAAAGGUUGAUCAAAUCUGUACAGUUUCUAUUGUUCCAGAUUUUUUUAAGUUUGUAUUAAAAGCAUGAUACAAUAA